rnacentral:rRNA from 1 species
UCAGGACGAACGCUGGCGGCGUGCCUAAUACAUGCAAGUCGAACGGUCUUUCUAUGGAAGCUUGCUUCCACUGAGAAGAUAGUGGCGAACGGGUGAGUAACACGUGGGUAACCUGCCCAUAAGAGGGGGAUAACAUCCGGAAACGGGUGCUAAUACCGCAUAGUUUUCUUGAUUGCAUGAUUGAGAAAGGAAAGACGGCCUUUGUGCUGUCGCUUAUGGAUGGACCCGCGGCGUAUUAGUUAGUUGGUGAGGUAACGGCUUACCAAGACGAUGAUACGUAGCCGACCUGAGAGGGUGAUCGGCCACAUUGGGACUGAGACACGGCCCAAACUCCUACGGGAGGCAGCAGUAGGGAAUCUUCCGCAAUGGACGAAAGUCUGACGGAGCAACGCCGCGUGAGUGAAGAAAGGUUUUCGGAUCGUAAAACUCUGUUGUCAGAGAAGAACAAGUUGGAGAGUAACUGCUCCAGCCUUGACGGUAUCUGACCAGAAAGCCACGGCUAACUACGUGCCAGCAGCCGC